UACGGAGGGCGCUAGCGUUGUUCGGAAUUACUGGGCGUAAAGCGCACGUAGGCGGCUACUCAAGUCAGAGGUGAAAGCCCAGGGCUCAACCCUGGAACUGCCUUUGAAACUAGGUAGCUAGAAUCUUGGAGAGGUCAGUGGAAUUCCGAGUGUAGAGGUGAAAUUCGUAGAUAUUCGGAAGAACACCAGUGGCGAAGGCGACUGACUGGACAAGUAUUGACGCUGAGGUGCGAAAGCGUGGGGAGCAAACAGG
rnacentral:rRNA from 1 species